rnacentral:rRNA from 1 species
CGCCUCUUGAAACUACAUAAGAGGUCCAGCCUGCCCAGUGACUAAGUUCAACGGCCGCGGUAUCCUAACCGUGCGAAGGUAGCGUAAUCACUUGUUCUUUAAAUGAGGACUAGUAUGAAUGGCACCACGAGGGUUAUGCUGUCUCCUUUUUCUAAUCAAUGAAACUGAUCCCCCCGUGAAGAAGCGGGGAUAUAUUUAUAAGACGAGAAGACCCUAUGGAGCUUUAAACCAUGUAACACUGGCUUUCACAUUAAAAUAUUCCAGAAUUUUCAUAGUUAUCUCUAGCCAUUAUGAUUACUAGUUUUAGGUUGGGGUGACCACGGAGCAAAAAUUAACCUCCAUGUUGAAAGGAGCUACUCCUGAGCCAAAGGCCACGACUUUAAGCACUAAUAAAUUAACAUUAAUUGACCCAAUAUUUUUGAUCAACGAACCAAGUUACCCUAGGGAUAACAGCGCA